rnacentral:SRP_RNA from 1 species
UCACGUCCGCGCCGGUGGACUGCGAAGUUCUGUUCCACAGCAUCUUCCUACACAACUCCGU